CUUCCUUCUCUCUUAAUUUGGUGCAGCAGCCGCUGUCGGUCAAGUUCUUGGUGGAGAUGCAGCUGAUGCUCAAAGUGAUUCAUCAGGGAGGACCUCCGCCAGUAGAGGGAUGGCUUCUGUCCAAAGGCUCAGGUAUUGUUAUUGAACUACAAGAUAAUGUUGUUGGUCUUCCCAGAACAAAAAAAGUGUUUUUGACACUACCAUCGAUGGGGUCUUCAGCGCUUUAACCAUUGAAGCUUCUGAAGAUUCUAUCAAAGCAUGUGGGUUUAUAUUGGUUCUACAUUAGAGGAUUAAAUUGUAAACUGCUAGCAGAGCUACACUGCGGACUACAGAGUUGAUCUGAAUCUCUGCUAUUGUGUGCUGCUUCUACUUGAAUAAAAGCUGAUAUUGCCAUGAUCCUUAGUCAUGUGUUCUUAAAAGAAAGGGUUUUGCAUGGACAGAUGGAAUCAAAAAUCUUGGGAACCUGAUAGCAUUCAUUUUUUUAUCCUGGGUGCUGCUAGAUCCUGUGUAACUGGAUGUUCUUUUCGAUGUAAGCGGAACCAUGCCCAUGCGACGGUACUGAACAAAGUUGCGCACAUGGUUGUGGACUCUGGACACUCUACACAAAAGAAAUUUGUAUAAAUGUACAACGCUCUGUUUGAAGCCUCCUCAUAUGAUAUUGGAAGGAACUCGAGCGGAAGGCCGCCGGCGGAGCCUGUAUCAGAGGACAUGGAAGAAAUUAGCCCAAGCCCAAUGAAACUUCUCUCUGAAGCAAUGCCUAUUUAUUGCUUUUGUGUUGGUACUUUCAGUUCUUUGAGAUUCCCAUUUGUGCAAAAACAUCAGUGAUGUGGCAGAGAAGGUGGAUUGUAGCAGCAAUGUGAAAGUAUGUACAUAACAAUUUGCCUAACAAAUGAGA